UCCUUUUUUUUUUAAAGACAAGGUCUGGCCCUGUCGUUGAGGCGGUAGUGUGCCUACUCCAUUCAUUCAACAAAACUCUAUAAAGCAUUUGUGCCAGGCUCUGGGCUAGGCACUGGGGAUACACUGAUGUAUAAAAAAGACAUGAGGCUCAAGUCUCUAUAAAAAAGACAGUGGCAGCCGGGCGUGGUGGCUCACGCUUAUAAUCCCAGCACUUUGGGAGGCCAAGGCGGGUGGAUCACGAGAUCAAGAGAUCGAGACCAUCCUGGUCAAUGAGGUGAAACCCCGUCUCUACUAAAAAUACAAAAAUUAGCUGGGCAUGUUGGUGCGUGCCUGUAGUCCCAGCUACUCGGGAGGCUGAGGCAGGAGAAUUGCUUAAACCCAGAAGGCGGAGGUGGUGCUGAGUCCAGUCUGGGUAACAACAGCGAAACUCCAUCUCAAAAAAAAAAAAAAAAGACAGUGGCUUAAGCCUGUAAUCCCAACACUUUGGGAGGCUGAGGCAGAAGGAUCACUUGAGCCCAGGAGAUUGAGAGCAGCCUGGGCAACAUGACAAAACCCCAUCUCUACAAAGAAAAAAAAAUUAGGUGGUUAUGGUCACACGGACCUGGAGUCCCAGCUACUUGGAAAGCUGAGGUGGGAGAAUAGCUUGAACCAGGGAGGUGGUUACAGUGAGCUGAGAUCACACCACUGUACCCCAGCUUGAACGACAGAGGCAGACCCUGUCUUAAAAAAAAAAAAAAAAAAAAAAGACAUGAUAUGGCCAGGCAUGGUGGCUCACCUGUAAUCCACUGCUUUGGGAGGCUGAAGUUGGAGGAUUGUUGAGGCCAGGAGUUUGAGACCAGCCUGGGCAACAUAGCAAGACCCUGUCUCUACCACCUGGUGCGCACCUGUAGUCUUAGCUACUCAAGAGGCUGAGGCAGGAGGAUCACUUGAGCCCAAGAAUUAGAGGCUGUAGUGAGCUAUAUUUGCACCACUGCACUCCAGCCUCGGCAAGAGAAUAAGGCCCUGCCUCUGGGAAAAAAAAAAAAAGAGAGAGAGAGAGAGAGAAAGUAAAAGAAAGGCCGGGCACAGUGGCUCACACCUGUAAUCCCAGCACUUUGGGAGGCUAAGGUGGGUGGAUAAUAAGGUCAAGAGAUCGAGACCAUCCUGGUCAACUUGGUGAAACCCCAUCUCUACUAAAAAUACAAAAAAUUAGCUGGGCACGGUGGUGCGUGCCUGUAAUCCCAGCUACUCAGGAGGCUGAGGCAGGAGAAUUGCCUGAACCCAGGAGGCGGAGGUUGUGGUGAGUUUGUGCCAUUGCACUCCAGUCUGGGUAAGAAGAGCGAAACUCCGUCUCAAAAAAAAAAAAAAAAAAGAAAAGAAAAGAAAAAGAAAGAAAGAAAGGGAGAGAGAAAAGAGAGAAAAGAAAAGCCAUGAUCACAGUCCUUAUGAAGCCAGCAAUGCAAUGGAAAAGACAGCCAAAAAGCAAGGACUGUGAAUUAAAAGACAUGUCACAGAGACAGACAAUGCUAGGGUAGAGGAGAAGGCAGGGGGACUCAUUUAGAUAGAGCCGGUCAGGGAAAAACCCUCAGAGAAGGUGCCAAGACCUGAAGGUCAAGAAGGACUUAGCCAUGUGACUUAGCCAAGAAUGUUCUGGGCAGAGGAGAAGGGGAAGACUUUGAGAUGGAAUAGAACAUGGAGUGUUCAAGAAAUGGAGAAGAGGCCAGUAUAGCUGAGGAGAUGGGGUUUCACCAUGUUGCUCGGGAGGCUGGUCUCGAACUUCUGACCUUGUGAUCCACCCACCUCAGCCUCCCAAAGUGCUAAGAUUACAGAUCAGUCUGAGAACAGACUAACACAUCUGGUCAAGGAGCAGAUGCCUGCAAGGGAUCCAUGAGCAAGAGAGUGGAGAGGAGAGAAUGGUUUCAUGGAAGCCUGAAGAAGAAAGAGCAGGAGAAACUAGCAACAGUGUCAUCAGCUACUGGGAAUCUAAAGUGAGGACCGUGACUGAUGUUUCCUGAACUCUCUUGAACAUACCUGUGUUUUCUGAAUGUCUACACUGUCAAAACUUUUCCCUUCUGCUCUUAUGGAGUCUUCCUCCAUGUGUCUUUGGCAGCAGCAGGUGGGCGUGCCCCUGAGGGAGCAGUGGGAGAAGAGAAUGUUUCUGGGAGUAUUGUUCAUAGUUGCAAAAGAAAAAUAAGAUAAAUAAAUAGCUGGCCAAUUGAGGUGGCUCACACCUGUAAUCCCAGAACUUUGGGAGGCAAAGGCGGGCAGAUCACUUGAGGUCAGGAGUUUACCACCAGCCUGGCAAACAUGGUGAAACCCCGUCUCUAAUAAAAAUACAAAAUUAGCCAGAUGUGGUGGUGGACACCUGUAAUCCCAGCUACUCAGGAGGCUGAGGCAGGAGAAUCGCUUGAACCUGGGAGGUGGAGGUUGCAAUGAGCCAAGUUCAUACCACUGCACUCCAGCCUAGGCAACAAGAGUGAAACUCCGUCUCAGAAAAACAAACAAACAAACAAAAACAAUAACAAAGAAAAAUAAAUAGCUAUCCAUUGACAGAACAGUGGAUGAAUGAAUUGUGCUGUCCACUGAGAUCAUGGAAGUUCAGAGAGGGGACAUUUAGCUUCAACUGGGUCAACUCUUCCAGACUGUCAUACUUGCCUCCUUAUUCACAAUUUCCUGAAAAUCUCCAUGUAAAGAGGAUGGCAUAGGUCCAGGUUGGAAGAGGGGAAGUUGAUAACUGGCUUCUGUUGCAGGUAUGAAUUCUCAGUCCACAAACUCAGAAAUAAAACUUCUUUUUUUUUUUGAGGCGGGGUCUCACUCUGGUUGCCCAGGCUGGAGUGCAGUGGCACGAUCCCAGCUUACUGCAACCUCCGCCUUCUGGGUUCAAGCAGUUCUUCUGCCUCAGCCUCCCAAGUAGCUGGGACUACAGGCAGGCAUCACCACACCCGGCUAAUUAUUUUGUGUUUUUAGUAGAGACACGGUUUCAUCAUAUUGGCCAGGCUAGUCUCAAGCUCCUGACCUCAUGAUAUGCCCGCCUCAGCCUCCCAAAGUGCUGGGAUUAUAGGCGUCAGCCACCACACCUGGACGAAAUAAGACUUUUUAAAAAACUGGAUAUAAUUUCUAAUUUAAUUAUUCAAUAAACAUGCAUUGAACAUCUACUAAGUAUCAGUCACAGUGCUAGGUCCUGGAAGCACAACAAUGAAAUGACUAAGACCU